ACCCAGGGCUUUGCAGACCUCAGCUGACUCUCCCCGAGAGCGUCCGGCCUUGGCCCCGUAACCACGGAAACCGGCUGUACUCAGGACCGCGACUUCUUCGGUGGAAAGGACAAACCUGCCCCCAACGUUGCCCUUGGGGGCUGCAGGCUGAAGGACGAGCGCUGCGAGGUCGCGGCCCGCCGGGCACCAGACUACACAGCUUCGGGCAUCUUCUGGGGAGAAUUCUUAUGUUGCGGUCCUUUCGGCCACAGGCCUGUAAACUGACCCUAUGUUCCCUAUGUGCCAUUAACUCAAACUCCUUGGGAACCGAUGAGCGGAGACAAAAGGCGUCCCUGGCGAGCAACCCGGAAGUGCUACCCGUUCUGGUCCAUUAUUGGGCCCGCGUGCAGCACAGUCUUCUGGGUAAUGUAGUUUUUAAACGUUUUUCCCACUACGUCCGACCAAACCGGGAGCUCUUCACCCAAUAAGUUACUUGCAGUGUGAAAGGCGCUCAAAGGUCCCAGUUUCUCUCAAAUGCGGAGAAAUCUAGAGGACAGAGUUUGUGGGGAAGGACCCAGGAACAAGGGUAAAAUCGCGUUCUUCGUCCGGGGAAAUCGAGGCUUGGGAGAUACUUCCUACCAAGAUUGUUUUCUAAGUUGAUGACAGAAAAUGGAGCUUAACAUUUUUCGUGGGGAGGAUGCUGGAAGCCUCUCCUCAACGUAUUAUUCCACCAUUCAUCCUUACCGUCUUAGGUCUUUUGUGGCCCCAAACAGCCUCCACACAGGCACGGACUUCUGGGUCACUAGAUCAUUGGAUUUGCGGUCUCCUGAUGUGUGAAGGCUCUAACGCCAGCCAUGGCGAUGGUUUCCUGUGAUUUCAGCACUUGAGAAGUGGAGAUAGAAGGAUCAGGAGUUUGAAGUCAUACUCAGCCCUAUAUUCCAAGCGAAUCUUCCUCCCCAAGGUUGUCUUGACUUGAAAAGAAGAAGAAAUGAAUGAUUCCAA